rnacentral:rRNA from 1 species
UGUCUACGGGAGGUAGCAGUGGGGGAUAUUGCACAAUGGGGGAAACCCUGAUGCAGCGACGCCGCGUGAGUGAAGAAGUAUUUCGGUAUGUAAAGCUCUAUCGGCAGGGAAGAAAAAAAUGACAGUACCUGACUAAGAAGCCCCGGCUAACUACGUGCCAGCAGCCGCGGUAAUACGUAGGGGGCAAGCGUUAUCCGGAUUUACUGGGUGUAAAGGGAGCGUAGACGGCAGUGCAAGUCCGGAGUGAAAGCCCGGGGCUCAACCCUGGGACUGCUCUGGAAACUGUAAAGCUGGAGUGCGGGAGG